GACAAAUAGUGAUUUUUUUUUCUUGCAGUGUUCUCUCCUACUGAAGGGUGACGGUACCAGCUGGGAGCGGGUCGUUCAGGGCCACCAGGAUGAUGGAGCGUUCAGGAAUGUUCUUUAGGUUGGAGAAUGUGUUAGUCAAGGGAACUAAAAGGGUUUAAACCUCAGCUCUCUGGCCCUGUUUGACUUAUUGUCUGUAUAAUACUAACUCAUGGACUUCCUUAAAAGCCAACAGAGCGCUGUCAAACACUGUAGCUGUUAUUCUACGAAAUCCUGUGAUUAUGAUUGUCACUGAGGGAUGAUUGUUGUCAGAAACCAGUGGACGUUAACCAAAGCAAAUGUUAUCCUAAAAAAUUGCCGCAGGGGGAGAGGGGCAAAAGGGUAGAGAACCAGAGUUGGACUCCAUGAAGCUCUGUCUUUGGUCAAGGUUGAGUCUCACACACACCAGCUCCACCUUUGAGAGCUUACUGUACCUGGACUGAGAUCAACGACAAACUUCAUUUCCAGGAAAAGCUGGAACUGUUUCUAUAGUUUUGCAGGAACAUCCACGGUGUUGCUGUUCCUGUUCACCACUGGCACAAAGGUUCCAAACUCUGUUUUUCCCAAGCUGCUGACAAAUGGACAUGGAUCUACUUAGAACAGUUAAAUUGUGUUUUCAGCUCGGUCACGGUGCUUCA